CUGGGGACUAGGUCGCAAGACUAAAACUCAAAGGAAUUGACGGGGACCCGCACAAGCGGUGGAGCAUGUGGUUUAAUUCGAUGCUACGCGAAAAACCUUACCACUUUUUGACAUGAAGGUCGUAUCCCUCCUAACAGGGGGAGUCAGUUCGGCUGGACCUUACACAGGUGCUGCAUGGUUGUCGUCAGCUCGUGUCGUGAGAUGUUGGGUUAAGUCCCGCAACGAGCGCAACCCUCAUUCUUAGUUACCAACAGGUAAUGCUGGGCACUCUAAGGAAACUGCCAGUGAUAAACUGGAG
rnacentral:rRNA from 1 species